rnacentral:rRNA from 1 species
UACGUAGGGUCCGAGCGUUGGCCGGAAUUACUGGGCGUAAAGCGCGCGCAGGCGGCUUCCCAAGCGCCACGUGAAAGCCCCGGGCUCAACCCGGGAGGGUCGCGGCGAACUGGGAGGCUUGAGGCCGGUAGAGGUGGGUGGAACUCCUGGUGGAGUGGUGAAAUGCGUAGAGAUCAGGAAGAACACCCGUGGCGAAGGCGGCCCACUGGGCCGGUGCUGACGCUGAGGCGCGAAGGCGUGGGGAGCGAACGGG